rnacentral:rRNA from 1 species
AUUGAACGCUGGCGGCAGGCCUAACACAUGCAAGUCGAACGGUAGCACAGAGGAGCUUGCUCCUUGGGUGACGAGUGGCGGACGGGUGAGUAAUGUCUGGGAAACUGCCCGAUGGAGGGGGAUAACUACUGGAAACGGUAGCUAAUACCGCAUAACGUCUUCGGACCAAAGUGGGGGACCUUCGGGCCUCACACCAUCGGAUGUGCCCAGAUGGGAUUAGCCAGUAGGUGGGGUAAUGGCUCACCUAGGCGACGAUCCCUAGAUGGUCUGAGAGGAUGACCAGCCACACUGGAACUGAGACACGGUCCAGACUCCUACGGGAGGCAGCAGUGGGGAAUAUUGCACAAUGGGCGCAAGCCUGAUGCAGCCAUGCCGCGUGUAUGAAGAAGGCCUUCGGGUUGUAAAGUACUUUCAGCGGGGAGGAAGGCGUUAAGGUUAAUAACCUUGGCGAUUGACGUUACCCGCAGAAGAAGCACCGGCUAACUCCGUGCCAGCCGCCGCCGUAA